rnacentral:rRNA from 1 species
AAACGGGGCAGCCUGUGCCCCUUUCGGGGCAAUGAGAAGAACACAGGUGGUGCACUGGGUCUCGUUUGUUCACGCUUUCGUGUUCGUUGAAGAAUGUUGGGUUAUAAAGUUCCCGCACAAACGAGAGGCGGCACAACCCCUUAUCCCGUUAGUAUGCCAAGCAGGUAAAGGCUGGGCACUUCUAAGGGAGACUGGCCAGGGGAUAACCUCGGAAGGAAAGGUGGGGAUGACGUCAAAUCAUCAUGCCCCUUAUGAUCUGGGCUACACACGUGCUACAAUGGCGUAAACAAAGGGAAGCACACACCCGUCGAUGGUGCGAGCUAAUCCCUCCAAAAGCACGUCGCCAGUUCGGAUUGUAGUCUGCAACUCGACUACAUGAAGCUGGAAUCGCUAGUAAUCG